rnacentral:misc_RNA from 1 species
CCGAGUUUCGAGGGUUUUCCCUCAGCUCCCACCCUUGUUUACCGCAUGUUGCUUCGGCGAGACGUUGGAAGCAACCGUCGGCGAUUCGAUUUAACGACGACCCGACGCGUGCUCGCCGGACUCCAAAUACUCUUAGACUUAUGUACUGUCAGAUGAAACAAGCAAUUAAUAA